rnacentral:tRNA from 1 species
AGUUGCUGUCUUGGAGAAAAUUUGUCUUGAAAAUAAAUUUUAAGUGUUCGAUUCACUUAGUAACUU